AAUUUUCCAAUGAGUACUGGUAAAAAAAUACUUGUUAAUACUUGUCAUACUUAUUACCAUUUUUGUAUUAAAGGUAACUUAUGCCCAGUUUUGCUCUAACUGUUCCGAGAAUUGGUAGCGAGGAAUGUUGAUAAGGCUACCGGAACUUAAGUCCAGUCUACGACGGCCGGCGUGGUACGGCUAUCGGUUACCCCUCCCAGCCGACAAAGGAUGUUUCCAGAACGUUCUCAAUGUGUAGGAGUAGAGGAGUUCAGUUCGCAGACAGUCUGUACAUAAGUGUACGAGGAGCAGUCUGUGUAGUGUAGUUGAUGUGUGCAAUAAAGUAAAUGAUCAUUAAAAGUCAGUGGUUACAGUUACAUAAUAUUCAAUUUGUAAUUGAAUAAAUUUAUUCAUAUAUUUGCUUGUACAGAGAUGUCGUAAUUAUAAUAAUACAGUAAUUAUAUAUAAAUUUAUUUAUCUAAACAUUUUAAAUUAACAAGAGUGUACAUAGUAAAAUUACUAGAAUAUUUGUUACUUCUAUUUAGUAUUCGUUUUAUUGUUAAUUUUUGUAUUAUUAUUCUCUUUUCAAGUUUUAACAUGGAUGGAAAAAAGAAAAGAAAAAAUUGCCAAUGAAUGCCGUGCAUUUAAUGAAGAAUGGGGUGUAAAAUAUUUUUUCAUACAAUCGAAUUCAAAGGAUAAAGCUGUAUGUCUGAUAUGUAAAGAUACUGUUGCUGUGUUGAAAGAAUACAAUAUACGUCAUCACUAUGACAUGAAGCAUGCUUCAACGUUUUCACAAUUUAAAGAAAAGCAGCAUUCAGAUAAAUUUGAAUCAUUACGUCAUUGUCUGCGUUCUCAGCAAGACUUACUUACGAAAGCAACAUCAGAAAAUGAAGCCUUAACCUUGAACCGUGAUAUUCAUCAGACCUCUUCCUUUUAUCUCCAGGACUUCCUCUGUUAUUACUAUCUUCUCAUCAGAUGCCAUGGACUAACUUCCAAGAAGCUAUCUAUCUGAUCAAUCAGACUUAAUGUGAAUAUUCUCAGGCACUCCUGAUUUCCAGCUGUAUUGAUCCAUGAGAGAGCCUCCAUUCUGUAAGAUAAGUGAACUUCUUAAUGUAUUUCAUGAACUGUUAAUAAAAUUGUGAAAUGUGAUAUAAAAGGUGGGUGGAUAAUGUUAGCAGGCAUUUUUUUAGCUAUACUGGCCAAAUACAGAGCCUACUUUAUGUAAGGCCAUAAACGGACUUUUUAUGUACAUCAUCAGAUUAUUGUUAUAUUCAGCAUGAGUCAUGUUUGCAUAAUGUUUAUAGGCAAUUGUGACAUUUGGCUCUGUUGACCAGUUACAGAGCCUAGUUUACACAUGAAUAUAAAUGGACUUUCCCAUAAAGGUAAAGGUAAAGGUAAAGUUGUUCUUAUUCUUAAUUAAUUAAUUAAUUCCCACACCAUGAAGUUGUAUGGGACAGUGGAGGUAUAGCUCCAUUCUUGACCUCAGUACUUGAUAGAGGCGAGUGGAUAGAGCUCCCUGUACCCAAUGGAUAGGUGGGUGGGUGGGCCCCAGAGCUGGUCUGGAUGCUGUGAAGAAGAGAAAAUUGUUUCCCUGCCUGAAAUCAAUCCCCGGCUAUCCAGCCAAUAGUUCAUCACUGUACUUUCCCAUAUAGGCUGUACCAUAAAACAUUUAACAUAUUUUGAUGCAAUUUGAUAUUCUACAUUACCAUGCUGUUGAAAUAAACAGAUUUUUCAUGUUAUCUGUAACAUUUUUGUGUUUCAUUGAAGUGUCAUGUAUAAAACUGCUGUCAGUCAGCUUAAAAAGUGUAAAGGACACUGUUGAGAAACUAAUAGAAAGUUGAUUAUUCUUAGUCAUAACAGUUCAGCUGAAUGUGAUGUACCAGUAAACAUAAUUAAACAAGAGUAAAAAAAAUAUGCUCUAUUCUUUGCAGUUAAGUCUGCUUGUGCCUAGUUUAUAAAUGACAUUUGGAUGAAAAGAAAUACAGAGAGGCCAAGAAAGAGGUGUACACACCUCAAUGUACACAUUUUAGAAUGUGUUGUACAUUUGAUCUGUUAAUUCCUGUCUCAUGUGCACAUUGUUUUACAUACUUCUGAGGUGAUAAUGUAAAGUGUUCCACCACUAUAGCAGAAGAGGUAGGACUCAUUGCUGUGGGAGUCCUACCAUAUCUUUGCUCAUGCACAUCAUGUGCUGUACCAUUGGUCUUAAAUUUGUCACAGAUGCAUACAAAUGUUAAUCAUGUUGGUGGUUCCAUUGCAAAUUCAUGCUGUCGCUGUCAUCAUACUAUGCACACACAUUUUCAAAUUUCCAGGCCCACUCCAAAAUUAUCUCACAUUUUUCAAAUGACAACCUUUCGGCCACUAUUUUCUUUGACUGUCCUGCCAUAUGAUAAGGUGGCUCUUGUCAUUUAUGUGACUAGGGCCAUCUUUUGAGAGAAUAUCACACCACACAUCGUGCAUUACAUUUUAGUUAAACUUUAAAAAGGUCCAUAGAUAACCCCUAUUAAAGUGUGUAUACAUUUUUUUGAGAUGAAAUUAACGCAAUAAUAUCUAAACAGCAUAUUAAUGCACAACAUAGAACUGCAACAGAAUUUUUGAUCGGAGUUUUUACCAAGCAGCUUCUGUUUCUUACUAGUAAUAACUGACAGUAACAGAUUUUGAAUUUUGCUGUAAUAUAUAUACAGAAUAGUUACCAGAAAAAAUAUUUUGGCAUGAAGAUUUGGAGCAGUUAUGAUGGCUUGAAAUGCUACCAGACUUAAAAAGACUCAAAAAGAGUGAAUUAAAAGGAGCAAUUUUGACACUUUAUGAACGUUGUAAAUAUGAAACAUGUGCAGACGUACUGCUUCAUCUGUGAUCUGUUGCUUAUCAGUAUCAGAAUAUGUAGCAGGUAAAACUGUGCAGAAGGUGUGGCACUCAAAUUAAGAGCUUAACAUGUAUAUUCAUAGAGCAUACUGAAAUGUACUCAUGUAAUUGAAAAACAGACUUGAAUUGCAUGAAAACACUCAUCCUCAGUGUUUGUUCAUCACUUGAAGUAUGCUGCAUCUGGUAUCCCCAUUUUCUUAAUUUUCUGGGAGCUUUGUGAACUCUGUGCAUAUAAUAACACAGCUGUUCAUCAGUACUUGUCAAUAUCGCAAUUUAAUGUGUAGUACAUUAGUCACAAAGUACUGCUUUUAAUGUUUAGAAUCUCGGAUAAGUAAGAGCACUAAAUUUUCAAGAUUUUAUAUCUGUCUGUUAAGCAUAAAC